rnacentral:rRNA from 1 species
AACGAACGCUGGCGGCAUGCCUAACACAUGCAAGUCGAACGGGAGCUCCGGGUCUAGUGGCGUAUGGGGGGUUAACGCGUGGGGACCAGCCCAUAGGUACGGAAUAACUCCCGGGGAGGGGUGCGAAGAACGGCUAAUGACUUCGGACCACAGAUUUAUCGCCUUUGGAUGGGCCCGCCGUGGAUUAGCUAGUUGGUAGGGGAAAAGCCUACCAAGGUGACGAUCCAGAUCUGGGCUGAGAGGCUGAUCCGACACACCUGGAUUGAGACGCAGCCCAGACUCUUACGGGAGGCAGCAGUGGGGAAUAUUGCACAGUGGGCUAAAUCAUGAUCCAGCUCUGCUGGGUGAGUGAUGAUGGCCUUAGAGUUGUAAAGCUCUUUAACACGGGAGGAUGAUGACAGUACCGGGAGAAUAAGCUCCGGCUAACUCCGUG